GAUGAACGCUGGCGGCGUGCCUAAUACAUGCAAGUCGAGCGAACAGACGAGGAGCUUGCUCCUCUGACGUUAGCGGCGGACGGGUGAGUAACACGUGGAUAACCUACCUAUAAGACUGGGAUAACUUCGGGAAACCGGAGCUAAUACCGGAUAAUAUAUUGAACCGCAUGGUUCAAUAGUGAAAGACGGUUUUGCUGUCACUUAUAGAUGGAUCCGCGCCGCAUUAGCUAGUUGGUAAGGUAACGGCUUACCAAGGCAACGAUGCGUAGCCGACCUGAGAGGGUGAUCGGCCACACUGGAACUGAGACACGGUCCAGACUCCUACGGGAGGCAGCAGUAGGGAAUCUUCCGCAAUGGGCGAGAGCCUGACGGAGCAACGCCGCGUGAGUGAUGAAGGUCUUCGGAUCGUAAAACUCUGUUAUUAGGGAAGAACAAAUGAGUAAGUAACUAUGCACGUCUUGACGGUACCUAAUCAGAAAGCCACGGCUAACUACGUG
rnacentral:rRNA from 1 species